UACAGAGGGGGCAAGCGUUAUUCGGAAUUAUUGGGCGUAAAGAGCUCGUAGGCGGUGUGUCGCGUCGGCCGUGAAAACCUGGGGCUCAACUCUGGGCGUGCGGUCGAUACGGGCAUCACUUGAGUUCGGCAGGGGAGACUGGAAUUCCUGGUGUAGCGGUGAAAUGCGCAGAUAUCAGGAGGAACACCGGUGGCGAAGGCGGGUCUCUGGGCCGAAAUUGACGCUGAGGAGCGAAAGCGUGGGGAGCAAACAGG
rnacentral:rRNA from 1 species